GUGCCAGCCGCCGCGGUAAUACGGAGGGGGGUAGCGUUGUUCGGAAUUACUGGGCGUAAAGCGCGCGUAGGCGGACUAUUAAGUCAGGGGUGAAAUCCCGGGGCUCAACCCCGGAACUGCCUUUGAUACUGGUAGUCUAGAGUUCGAGAGAGGUGAGUGGAACUCCGAGAGUAGAGGUGAAAUUCGUAGAUAUUCGGAAGAACACCAGUGGCGAAGGCGGCUCACUGGCUCGAUACUGACGCUGAGGUGCGAAAGUGUGGGGAGCAUACAGGAUUAGAAACCCCUGUAGUCC
rnacentral:rRNA from 1 species